UGGUCAUGGAUGCAGCAAUGGCGAGGUUCGAGGGUAAAAUGGGGCAUCCAUUUAAGCGCCAUCAUUGGUGGCAAGUUGUUCGCCACGAGCCCAAGUGGUCAGCAAAGCAUGGUCUUGGUAGUGGAUCUGAUUCGACUGCGAAUAAGAGAACCCGACUCGGAGUCUCUGGUGAAUAUAGUUCUGGAGGCACUGAAGACACCGAGGAGGAAGUGCCUCGACCAGUGGGGCGUGAUAGGGCAAAGGCGGCUGCGCGAAAGACAAAGACGAAGGGGAAAGGGAAGGAAGCCACGAGCAGCGAAUCAACAAGUGAAGCAUUCAAAAUGAAGAACUUGUGGGGUGGAUUAGUGAAGGCCAAGCUUUUGAAGCAAUGGAACAUCCUAAAGGGCCGAUCAACCAGAGAUAUGGACCCGGCUGAAAGACGUACCCAU
rnacentral:misc_RNA from 1 species